rnacentral:rRNA from 1 species
CCCUUAGAUGUUCUGGGCAGCACGCGCGCUACAAUGGUCUUCGCAAACGGAUGCAUUCUCGAAGGAGAAUGCCAAUCUUGGAAUCUAUGCCUUGGUCGGGACAGUUGCUUGCAAUUUUUCGACUCGAACAAGGAAUUCCUUGUAAUCGUGAUUCAUCACAUCACGAUGAAUACGUCCCUGCCCUUUGUACACACCGCCCGUCGCUCCUACCGAUCGAAGAGUUAGGUGAAUUGUUUUGAUCGAUAAGAUUUGACUAUGGUCAACUCUCGUUGUGAAAUUCUGUGAAUCUGACUGUUUAGAGGAAGGAAAAGUCGUAACA